rnacentral:rRNA from 1 species
GAUGAACGCUGGCGGCGUGCCUAAUACAUGCAAGUCGAGCGAACAGAUAAUGAGCUUGCUCCUUUGACGUUAGCGGCGGACGGGUGAGUUACACGUGGAUAACCUACCUAUAAGACUGGGAUAACUUCGGGAAACCGGAGCUAAUACCGGAUAACAUAUUGAACCGCAUGGUUCAAUAGUGAAAGGCGGCUUUGCUGUCACUUAUAGAUGGAUCCGCGCCGUAUUAGCUAGUUGGUAAGGUAACGGCUUACCAAGGCAACGAUACGUAGCCGACCUGAGAGGGUGAUCGGCCACACUGGAACUGAGACACGGUCCAGACUCCUACGGGAGGCAGCAGUAGGGAAUAUUCCGCAAUGGGCGAAAGCCUGACGGAGCAACGCCGCGUGAGUGAUGAAGGUCUUCGGAUCGUAAAACUCUGUUAUCAGGGAAGAACAAAUGUGUAAGUAAAUGUGCACAUCUUGACGGUACCUGAUCAGAAAGCCACGGCUAACUACGUG